rnacentral:sRNA from 1 species
GCCAGGCAUGGUAGCAUACGCCUGUAAUCCCAGCAUCUCAGGAGGCUGAGACAAGAGGAUCGUGAGUUUAAAGCCAGCCUUAGCAAAAGUGAGGCACUAAGCAACUCAGUGAGACCCUGUCUCUA